rnacentral:rRNA from 1 species
AGUGAGCGCUGGCGGCGUGCUUAACACAUGCAAGUCGAACGAGAGCGGAUUAUAGCUUGCUAUAAUUGUCAGCUAAGUGGCGCACGGGUGAGUAAUGUAUAGGUAAUAUGCCUCUUACUAAGGGAUAACAGAUGGAAACGUUUGCUAAUACCUUAUACUCCUUAUUAACAUAAGUUAAUAAGGGAAAGAUUUAUUGGUAAGAGAUUAGCCUGUAUUGUAUCAGUUAGUUGGUGGGGUAAUGGCUUACCAAGACUAUGACACAUAACUGGUUUGAGAGGAUGAUCAGUCACACUGGAACUGAGACACGGUCAGACUCCUACGGGAGGCAGCAGUGGGGAAUAUUGCACAAUGGACGAAAGUCUGAUGCAGCAACGCCGCGUGGAGGAUGACACAUUUCGGUGCGUAAACUCCUUUUAUAUGAGAAGAUAAUGACGGUAUUAUAUGAAUAAGCACCGGCUAACUCCGUGCCAGCCGCCGCAGUAA